rnacentral:rRNA from 1 species
CAUGAAGUUGGAAUUGCUAGUAAUCGCGGAUCAGCAUGCCGCGGUGAAUACGUUCCCGGGGAUUGUACACACCGCCCGUCACACCAUGAGAGUCGGGAACACCCAAAGUCCGUAGUCUAACCGCAAGGAGGGCGCGGCCUAAGGUGGGUUCGAUAAUUGGGGUGAAGUCGUAACAAGGUAUC